UUAUACAUAUAUGAAACUUCUUAAUAAAAUUGAUUCCAAAUAUCAUAUGUAUGAAACUUGAAUGAACAGGGGGUUGAAAAAAAAAAAGGUGCAAGCAUGUGGCCAUUCCUAGUGUCUACACCUCCAAAGUCGUCUUUCCGAAUUGUUCUCCAUCUAUGGACUCUUUGUGAUAGCUAUUUGACCCCACUAACACAAAAUUUGUUUGGAAUCCAGGUUAUUGAUGAUGAUUUUUCCAUGAUGAGGUUUCGGAGGAGGCAGGGUUUCUUUAUUUGGGAUUAAAAAAAAGAAGUGUGGAGGGAAGAAUUUGGACGAGUGAAGAUUGAGGAAUAUUGAAUAGGUUUGCAGAGAUAUUUUUGGGGGUGGGCGAGGGGGGGUUUGCAGAGAUAUUUUUGGGAGUGGGAGCGAGGGGGAGGACCAAAC
rnacentral:lncRNA from 1 species